ACAUUAGUCCUCCGUCCCAUAUUAAGUGCCGCAAUAUUACAUGUAUCUAGACAUAUUUUAGUAUAUAGAUACAUCCAUAUUUAGACAAAUUUGAGUCACUUAAUAUGGGACGGAGGGAGUAGUUG
rnacentral:pre_miRNA from 1 species